rnacentral:rRNA from 1 species
UGCAGCACCCAUAUCACCAUGCAGCCCAAAGACUGACUACCCAAUAAAGCUAAAGCAGGCCUGCGCCUGGUCUGCCUGGAUGGGAGACCACAUGGGAAAGCUAGGUUGCUGUUGGAA